rnacentral:rRNA from 1 species
AAACCAGCACCUCAAGUGGUCAGGAUGAUUAUUGGGCCUAAAGCAUCCGUAGCCUGCUCUGUAAGUUUUCGGUUAAAUCUGUACGCUCAACGUACAGGCUGCCGGGAAUACUGCAGAGCUUGGGAGUGGGAGAGGUAGACGGUACUCGGGAGGAAGUGGUAAAAUGCUUUGAUCUCUCGAUGACCACCUGUGGCGAAGGCGGUCUACCAGAACACGUCCGACGGUGAGGGAUGAAAGCUGGGGGAGCAAACCGGAUUAGAAACCCUAGUAGUCC